CGCACACCCAACCUCCGACACAGCAGCUCCCCGCGGUCUUGAAUUGCACGUGACACGUUCCCCUCGCGAAUUACAGGCACCCAACGCUCAAGCCACCGAUCGGCCGUCUCAGGAUUUAGCCGGUGACCAGAGUGUCGUAAUCCGCUAAGGAAAAAGUUUUUGUUCAAGUUUGUGCCUGUGAAGAAACUUAAGUAACUUAAAGAUGGCGGCCUUCAUCGCAAAACAGAUGAUGGGGAGCCAACUUAACGCUGUAAAAGGUUAGUCUUUAGCGUCUGGCCGUCUCGCCUUUCAGUAAGUACAUAAAAAGAGAAGAUUUAAGAUAAUAAUAAGAAGAAAAGGAGAAAGAAAAAGAAAAUGGUGCGAAUAUUCAUAUCAAAG